AGCUUAUCAAAGAAUGGCAUGCAUCAUCACCCUCUGCCUGAAAAGCCAGAUGAAGCCAUACCAGCAGCUAUUAUUGAUGAGAAGGAAGAGUCCACAUCCAUCUAUAGCAGUGAGUCCGAAGUCUUGGGUGACUCUAACAGUGUCACAGAUGCUGCACAAAACACUGAAAACUCCUGGUCUACUAUUCAGAGUUAUACAAGGACUGGCACCUCCAUGGAACAAAGCUCUGUGUUUUCUUGGGGAUAUGAAGAAUUUGACAAGUCAGCCACCCAACAAGUGCAAUGUCUGUUUGGAGAAAUUGAUGAGUUUCUUUAUGAGAACAAGAGAAGCACAGAACAGUGGAAUUUGCAGGAUGAAUGCAAGCAGUGGGCAUCACGUUUUCCCCAUCUCAGGAUUCUCGGCAAACAGAUGGUGAUGCCCAUUGAUGAAGGUUAUGCCUGGCUUCCAAGCCCAGUAUGUGAAAUAUCUAACACAUCAUCAAGCAGCCUUAGCCAGGACCAAGGCUUGAGUGAAUUAUGUAUUUUUGGAAAGAAGACUGCACUGUCCAGUCCUUUUUUCUAUAAAGACAUUGCUUCUCCAAAACCCACCUAUGCUGAAGAAAGGCAAGAUGAUGAGUAUAGUGGUGUGCUUGUCUCUGAAGGUGUGGUGGAAGAAUAUCUGGCAUUUGACUGCAGGAGUAUGGAUGAUAGUUUGCAUGAGCGAAAGAAGAUGGGCCAGACAUAUCGACUGAAGUCAAGAUUUCCUCCAGUCUCCCCAUUGUACUGCAUGGAAUAUAUGGUACUGAAUGACGUGUUUGAUGAUUUGUGGAAAGAGAUGGUGAGCUGCAUGCAUGAGCUAGUCUGGCAGCUUUGGGGAAGAGUCAUUUCAGAUGAACUGAGACCCCCAGCUAAUGGAAGCGCCUUUUUGCCUUCUGAAGCACCACAAGUUGCAGUUCCUAGAGUGCAUCACACACAGGUUUCCUCUUUCCCUUCUAGCCUGAUUCAGUCACAGGUAAAUCGGUUACACACUGAAAAUGGCAGUCAACAGCACAAUCUCAAUGGGUUAAUGGUCAUUCAGGGAAUUCCACUACAACAAAGAAACCUGCCCCUGGGAGAACCAUUGCAAAAUUCAGAAGAUAUACUUGUUAUGAGACUAGGUUCUAGUCUUGUCCAGUCAAACAGAUCCCAAGCAAGUCGUACUCACGAGCACAGCACAUCAUCCCUUUCACGUACUGUCCAUUCUGCCAGAAGGCGUAACCUGCCACGCACACUGUAUCCUCUACAUCUUACUAACUCCCGUUCUGGAACACCAGGCUCCAUGGAUGAAAUUAUCAGGGGAACUAGACUAUCAACAGCAAGUGACCAUCUGUCAUCCCCUCCAGCACCCUUAAGCCGCAACUCUCUGCUACCUCCAAUUGGCAGUGCUGAUUCUGAACAUUCCAGUACAGUCCCAGCAUCCCGCCAGCAACAGGUAGUGCCUGAGAAUCUACAUUCGAUGGUGAAGAAGUGUGGAGAUAGAAACAGACAUGAGCACAGCAUGAAAUAAUCAGAUUGCAGGAAUUUUUGCUGCUAUUUAAAAUUUCUAGUCAUUAAACCAGUAUGUAUAUUUAGUCAGGGGGUAAGAAUUAAGCAAGCCAUGAUUGAAUCACUUUUGUCUACUAUAGCAAACACACUUUAUUAGGUAUUAUGCAGCACAAAAACUAAGUGCAUUACACAAGCUGUAAUAAGCAAUAGAAGAGGUAUCUUUCAUCACUUCCCUCUUUGGAGAGAGAGGUUAUGACACUAAGAUGAUGGCCCAAAUUUGCACCAGCAUUAUACAUGAAUGGGGUAAAAAAUGCACACCAUUAUUGGGCUUAAAUUCCAGUAAUGGAGGAAAUGACAUAGAAAAUCAGUUUAAGAUUGUCAAAGCUGGUACUAAUUUUGGAAGAGCCUGCAUUCUUGAAUUUGGUCCAUAUAUUAACAAAAUUAAGAAAAUGAUGACUGACAACUGGAUUAUUAUACAGUCAGACCAGGAUUUAGUAAAAUUAUUGGGGAUUCAACCAUUAUUUGUGAAAAAAUGGGUCGAAAUAUUAAGAGUUAUUUAGAAAGUAUUAGUACCACUAUGGUGUACUCUUAUAGGCACACUACGAAAUGUGGAAGUUGUAAACAAUGUUACACAAUACUAGAGGAGAGGAGUAUCACUCUAGAAAAUACCAAUGGGACAAAUAUUAAGUUUAAAUAUGGUAAUUGUAAUACUAAGUUAGUGAUAUAUUUAGCCAAAUGUAUGGUCUGCCCCGGAUUUUAUAUUGGAAAGACAGAGAGAUGUCUAAACAAAUGUAUAUAUGCUCAUUUAUAUAGUAUUAAGACGAAGGAAGAGAACAAUGCUUUAUACAGGCAUAUUACAAAAUGUGGAGACAGACAUUACUUUAAAUUUGGUAUUUUGGAUCAUGUUCACAUUGACCCUAAAGGGGGAGAUUAUAAAAGUUUACUGUCAUAUAA